rnacentral:rRNA from 1 species
CAUGCCGUAAAGUGAUAAAAGCCUUAGGAUUAAAAAACUCUUUCACCCGGAAAAUAAUGACUGUACCUACUAAAAAAGCCCGGGAUAUCUCCCUGCCAGCAGGCGGUGUAAUCCAGAGGGGGAGAGUGUUUUUGAGAUUUUCUGGGCAAAAAGCGCGCGUAGGGGGUUUUAAAAGUGUGGUGUGAAAUCCCGGGUCUCAACCCGGGAAGUGCCUUUAAAACUGUUAGUCUAGAGUUCGAGAGAGGGGAGGGGAAUUCCGAGUGUAGAGGUGAAAUUCGUAGAUUUUGGGAGAAACCCCAGUGGCGAAGGCGGCUCUCUGGCUCGAUUCUGACGCUGAGGUGUUAAAGUAAUGGGGCGC